UAGGGAGACCUAAUCCAUUUAGAAAUCGAAAACAAUGAAAAUUGUCAAUAGAAACUAAAUUGGUCUAACCUAGGUCGUUCGAGAUUGGUAGACAUCUUUCAAAGUAUUAUUCGGCUUCGUUCAAAACCAUAUAUAAUAAACGGAAAAAGACAGCACCUAAUUGUCAAAGUUAGACUGCUGGAUGAAGUUCCAGCCAGAACCUUGAAAACUGCAUAAGAGAACAAGAAAAAGCAGGCAGACACAGACAUUUAGAUGGAUGUGGAAGCAAAAGAAAUUGU
rnacentral:misc_RNA from 1 species